rnacentral:lncRNA from 1 species
AUCAUUAAUUUCUCUGCCGAAGAUGUAAGUAUACCUAUCUCUUGGUUACUUGGAACAUCUCUCUAAGUAUCCGUCCAUAGCUUCCUCUUCUUAGUGCCAAUUUUGUUGAAAAUUUGGUUCAUGAGUGAACUUAAAUUUCAAGUAACACUCUGAUAUGUUCGUGAUUUUCUCAAGCAAACAAUGGUCUUGUAGUGUUUAUUCUCUGUGAUAUGAAGGUGAGGCGACCAGAUAAUGGCAGCAAAACAUUGAGUGAACUUAAAUUUCAGGUAACACUCUGUUCAUAUGAGAUCACUGACCUCAUCCUUUUUCUUGGCAUUUGGUAUUGACUUGUUUCUUGCCACUGCGGAUAGAAGAUUACUUGGAUGUGGCUAUCCUGAUCCAAUGAGCGUUAUGGCACCUGUAUUGGAAUUAUAAUUACGCAGACUUGUACUACUUUGUGUUUCUUCUUACAUCUGCAUAAUCUGUAUUUUUCUUGAUAAGCUGACCUAAUGUUCGUUUCUGUUGUAAAUAUGAGAUUAUGUCUUGAGUUCUCUAUGACUAGAUCUGUUAUAUUGCCUUUGUAUGUCAUGGGAUUUAAUUGCAUUAGUAGCUAACUCCAUCGUUAUGAAUUGUCAACACACUUUUGUGAUACGUUGUGAUUUCCUUUAGUGAACUGUAUGUCCCAAAAGUUUGUGGAACUGUGAUUUUGGAUCUUUUCUUGACAAAUUCUUAUGUGGAUAUUUGUAAUACCCAUGGACUAAGCAGUUAGUUUCUGAACACCAGAAUAGUAUUUCCUCAUCAUGAUCGUUGUUUGGUAGAGUGUAUAAGUAAUUCUUGUAUUAGUUAUGUUGAAAUUAUUUCUUAUGCAUUUUUAAGCCGGCUAGGCAAUGGCAUGUCUCCGCCAUCCUCCCCUCGUUUCCUUCAUGCCCGGAAUAAGGACUCACCUCCCAUCUCCAUGGAUUUAAUUGAAGUGGAUUUUCAUAUUUGGUAGGAUUUAAGUGCACAACUUUGAGAUUACACCAUAAUUUCCCAACAAGCUGGAAUGGUAUAUCCUGCAUCACAAAUGAUUUUUGUUAUGUGACAUGUUAUAUAAAGACAUAAUCAAGAAAAAUAACUUUGUUUGUCCAUGUUUCUUAUUUAAUUAUCUCUUUUGGCUCCUCGUAGGGUUACUGAUACUGGUUUCGGAGUGAAAGGGUUACAUUAUGAUGGUAGCUUGUUUUGUGUUGGGAACUUGCUAAUGUCUUGGCAACCCAAAAAACUUUCGGAGGUUACUUUUGGUCCUCAUUAGAUAGAGACUUUUCUUUCCUUUAUUUCUAGUAACGUACUAGAAGUUGGUUAGACAUGGAAAAACUAUUAAUAGAUUUAUAUAUAUUGAACUAGCCAAUUGAAAUGGUUCAGUCUGGUUUAGCUUGUGGUCGAUUAGAGUUGAGGAUGAAGAUACCUAGUAUCUCAGUGGAUGACCAAAAAGUGACAGCAGGGUGCAAGAAUGUGAUAUUCCUCUUUAAGUGUCCAAUUGCUUAAAAAGGGAAGUUCUAUCAUAUGUCAAACAAGAACAAUAAUUACAUGGAUCUAACUUUUUUGCAUUAUCAUAUGCAACUUUUCCUUAUAAGGGUCUGCAAAGCUAAAAAUUUACUCAUAUCUUCACUUGCUCCAUAUAAAAGAGUAAAACUCUCAUUUUAUAAAUUAGCCAGGUCAAAGUGAGAAAUUUUUUGUGGGGUAAAGGAAAUAGUUGUCCAGAACUCUUUUAUUACAUAUGUUUGGACAUUUUGUUGCGUCACAAAGUCCAACUCUUUAGUUAUACUGUCUGGACGUCAUUUAUGAAAGGUUUUUCCCCUUAAAAAGACCCAAUUGUUUCCUUUUACAGUUUAGUUAUACAGUCUCAUCUGACAUGACAUUGGUAUGUGGCAUGCAACUUAUCUAUCUUCCAGACAGUGCGACCAGUUCCAGGUGAGUAGCAGUGGGUCUAUUGUUGAAGAAUACUAUGCUCAAGUCAAUUUGAUCUCAUUGAAGUAGAUGAUGAAGAGUUUUUGAACUAUUGUAGAAGUUUGAAGACAUUAUGUUUGAUUUUGUGAAAUAUAUUCAUUGCUAGAAUAUAUUGAACUAUUGUAAGAGUACAUUUUGAACUAUUGUGUACACAUAUGUAG